rnacentral:rRNA from 1 species
UUAAGCAAAAAAGAGCGCAGGGUGGAUGCCUUGGCACUAAGAGCCGAAGAAAGACGUGAUAAGCUGCGAAAAGCUGCGGGGAGAUGCAAAUAAUCCUUGAUCCGCAGAUGUCUGAAUGGGGAAACCCGGUACGAAGAACUCGUAUCAUCCAUACGCCAAUCCAUAACGUAUGGAGGGGAACCCGGUGAACUGAAACAUCUAAGUAGCCGGAGGAAGAGAAAGAAACAUCGAUUUUGUUAGUAGCGGCGAGCGAAAGCGAAAGAGGCCAAACCGGAGUGCGUGCACUCCGGGGUUCGGACCGCAUUUAAGAUUCAGUGAUUCUAGCAGAAAGGUUUGGGAAAGCCUGCCGGAGAGGGUGAAAGCCCCGUAAGCGAAAGGAGAACUGACUGAGCGGAAUCCAGAGUACAUCGAGACACGAGAAACCUUGAUGGAAUGAGCGGGGACCACCCCGUAAGCCUAAAUACUACUUAGUGACCGAUAGCGCAUAGUACUGUGAAGGAAAGGUGAAAAGGACCCCGGGAGGGGAGUGAAAGAGAACCUGAAACCCUGUGUUUACAAGCUGUGGAAGUUCUUUAAAUGAACAACCGCGUACUUUUUGUAGAACGGUCCGGCGAGUUGCGGAUACUGGCAAGGUUAAGCACUUAAGGUGCGGAGCCGAAGGGAUACCAAGUCUUAACAGGGCGUUAAGUCAGUGUACGCAGACCCGAAACCGGGUGAUCUAUCCAUGUCCAGGUUGAAGUUGUCGUAAAAGACAAUGGAGGACCGAAGCCACAUCCGUUGAAAAGGGUGGGCAUGAGGUGUGGAUAGGGGAGAAAUUCCAAUCGAACCCGGAGAUAGCUGGUUCUCCUCGAAAUAGCUUUAGGGCUAGCCUCGUUUUAGUCUUAUGGAGGUAGAGCACUGAAUUUCCGCGGGGGCGUCAAAGCUUACCAAAGAAUAUCAAACUCCGAAUGCCAUGUAGAUGAUGAACGGGAGUCAGACUGCACGAGAUAAGUUGGGCAGUCAAAAGGGAAAGAGCCCAGACCUGCUGCUAAGGUCCCAAAGUACGUGUUAAGUGGAAAAGGAUGUGGGAUUUCGAAGACAACUAGGAUGUUGGCUCAGAAGCAGCCAUACAUUCAAAGAGUGCGUAACAGCUCACUAGUCGAGAGUUCCUGCGCCGAAAAUGUCCGGGGCUGAAACACGACACCGAAGCCGUGGACUCGCAAUGCGAGUGGUAGAGGAGCAUUCUUAAAACCGACGAAGCUGUACCGUAAGGAGCAGUGGAGGGAUAAGAAGAGAGAAUGCCGGAAUGAGUAGCGAGAGAAAGGUGGGAAUCCUUUCGGCCGAAUAUCUAAGGUUUCCAGAGUAAAGCUGAUCUGCUCUGGGUAAGUCGGGGCCUAAGCACAGGUCGCAAGACGUAAGCGAUGGAUAACAGGUUUAGAUUCCUGUACCACGCAUUAUCAGAACUGUAGGGACGCAUGUGGAAAGCACGAGCCGGGAAUGGAAAGACCGGUACAAGCGGGGUAGGUGUACAAUAGGCAAAUCCGUUGUAUAAUCCGAAGACGUGAUGUGGAGCGAAAUAAAGUAGUGAAGCGUGUGAGCCAUGUGCCGAGAAAAGCUGCUAUUGUGUAAUGCGUGCCCGUACCGUAAACCGACACAGGUGGAUGAGGAGAGAAUCCUAAGGCCGACGGAAGAAGCAUUGUUAAGGAAUUCGGCAAAAUGACCCCGUAACUUCGGGAGAAGGGGUGCCUGCGAGAGCAGGCCGCAGAGAAUAGGCUCAAGCAACUGUUUAGCAAAAACACAGGUCUAUGCGAAACCGAAAGGUGAAGUAUAUGGGCUGACGCCUGCCCGGUGCUGGAAGGUUAAGAGGAGAGGUUAGCGUAAGCGAAGCUUUGAAUUUAAGCCCCAGUAAACGGCGGCCGUAACUAUAACGGUCCUAAGGUAGCGAAAUUCCUUGUCGGGUAAGUUCCGACCCGCACGAAAGGCG